CAAACAAAAGAGCUCAGCGGUGAGAGCCCUGAUGCCUCCCAUUCAGAUAGAUGUCAGCCCGUGAACCCACCCAUAACAAUCACGUUUUGAUUUAAGAGGGACCAAUUGUUUUGUGGCUUUAGUAGGCUAUGUUUACCUACUGUUGAAGCAUUCUGCUUCUCUCCUUUUUACUGGUGUGGGAUUGGAGAUAUUAUCAGUGCCAAAUUUCUCAAAUAAAAGAUGCCAGGCCUGAAGGGUGACUAGAAGCAGCCCCCCUGUGGUCUGGAAGCCAUGCUCAUAGUUUCCACUGUUAAUGGUAAGGGAAUGCACUCUGCACAUGCCCAACAGCACUGCACCUAUCCCUGGCACUGAAUUAAGCCUGGGAUCCAGCCAUGCAGCUUCUCCCCCAAACUAAUCUCCCUUCAUGGCCAGAGCUUUGUUUUAUUGUCCUAAACACUCUCAUUUGAUUUUGCCCUCUUCAGAAGGAAGUGCCGUUUUCAGCCGUGUGUUUUCAUUGUCAGCUAAUGACUCCCCCCACCCAAUUAAAUAGUAGCCUUUCCUCUUAAGUACUCUAUUUUGUCCAUCUGUUUGGGGUUAUAAUACCAUAAUACACAGCUUCACAGCUGAUAGGAUAGUGGUACCCCAGUACAUAACCAUCAAGCCACAUGCAUCAAUGGCAGAAGAGGGGGUGGAUUUCUGGAGAGUUGCCAGCCAAUGACCUUUCUCAUCUUCCCCUUGUCUGAGGAAGCUCCCCUUUCCAACUUUGUAAGGUCAGGAAAUUGUUGUUUUCUUCUUUCUGCAGCAUGAGGCGAUAUUAACAAUGCAUGCAUUGCCAAAACAUAAACUGUUAAGCUCUUUGCCAGUGUUAUAUCCUUUCUUAAAACCACUCCUUUUCAAGAGUGGAAAAAUACCCGAAUAUACCACUUUUUCAAGAGAAGGGAGAUUUUAUUGCUUUCAUCGACGUGAUUUAUUUUUGUGCAUUUCACGUUAUUAAAGGGGGACAUCUAUAUAUAUAUAUUACCGUAAAAAUACUGAGAGGGUCUGGGGUAUGUUUGUGUGUACCCACACCCCAAACCCUCUCUGUAUUAUCUGCCAAGACAAUCAGCUGCAAUUAUAACACAUUAAUGAAUAAUAUGCCUUGAGAGUAUGUUUUUUGUUUUGUUUUGUUAUUGUUCAUCGCAUGAUGUUAGACGGCUUUUACAGGCAAAGGAAAGAGAAAGUAAACGGGUUACAAAUAGGGAAUUAUCCCUCGUUUAGCAUUAAAAUUCAUUUAGAUAAAAUUGCCACAAACAUUUAAAUGGAGAGAUUAGUUCCCCCUCACGCCUUAUUGCACACUCUCAAUGGCUCCGUUAAGAACAUUUUACACGUUGGAAAUUCCGCCUUCUCAGCCUGCUCGCUGUUUCCUAGCUACCCACAUUCAAAGCAAAGGCAGCAGCAACAGAAAGAGAAGAAGGGAGGGAGAGAGUGUGUGUUGGGGGGCGGGAGGGGGAAAGUUUUUUUUAUUAUUUGGCAACCAGAUUGCAAUUCAUGCACUUGGAUCUGCUUUAAGUAAAGGAGAAAAUAAAGAAACAGGCGCUUUCCCUCCCUCUUAGAGCACCCAGUAACCCUCUAUGGAGAGACAAGGCGCUGCUGCCAUAGCCGUUGAUCCACUUUUAGUCUCUCCCCCCCCCUUUCAAAAACGAAGCUGGGAAUUAAGUUUUCCGAGAGCCGUCUAGCACAAAGAAAGCGAGAUUAAUUUAUGUCUGUAUCGGAAAAUGCGCGUGUGUUUUGUGGGAGUGGAGCGAUGCGCGCGGUGGGGUUGUGUGUGUGUGUGCGCGCAGCGAACAAAGAUGUCCUGGUUUCUGGCGCGUCUGCUGCUCUGUUCCGCAGAUUCCCAGCGCGCGCGCGGAGCGGUGCGAAAAGGGAAGCUCUCCAAGCGCGCGCGCUUAAACGUCUCCCGUUUUGCAGCGCUGUGAGCGGAGUGCGGUUGUCUGUAUUUAAAAAUCUCUGGAGGGAUUAGUUUGAAAACAGAUCAGUUGUCCUCCUCCUCCUCCUCCUUCCUCUCCCCCCCCCCCCGUUCCUCCUCCUUUCUCUCUCUCGCUCUUUCCCCCUCUCGCUGCCACCCGCUGCAGAGCCCAAGGAGAAGGAAUGUCAGCUUCGACUGCCAUCUUUUGGGGAUAUGGAAAAACGACCCGAUAGGUAGGAGCCCGCCCUCUUCCUCCUCCUCCUCCUCCUCCUCCUCGCUUUCCUUCCCUCCCGUCCUCGUGCUGCUUCUUCCCCAGCCCCCCGAGUCCAAAUCUGGGCUCCCACUUGUGCUUGCUAGGGAAAAUACUUUGGAGCGCAGAAGGGAACUAGCUCUGCGCCUUGGCCAUUCUGCAUGGAAGCAUUUGCAGAGAGAGGGGCUGGGCUGGAGGGGGAGACCCCGGAUCCCGCCGCCUUUUUCUCCCCCAAGUUCCGCGCAAAAGUUUUCCGGCGUCCCUGCCGGUCUUGCUUUUUUGUCAGCUCUUUCUCCCCCCCCCCUCCCCGCCCCUGCAAAGAUUGUCCGACGCUGCCGCAUGCGCGCUGGGGCUUCCUCUUUGCCUGUUUUGUGCGCGGCGAGGGUACCGUAUUGCACCGAGUCGAGUGUCACUUGAGAAAUUGCGAGAAAUCCCGCUUGAUCGGCGGGGUGUGCGGGCAGCUGGUAGUGGAGAACUUUUACCGUCGUGUUUGGACAUGAUCCCUCCUCCCCCGCCUUUAAACCCCCAACCAAGGUUCUCCGUAGAGUUAUUGCGCGGAUAAUACAAUUGUUCCAAGAUUAGGGUCGCUGCGAUUAAAACAAUACUUUAGUUUUAUUUUUGUUUUGAUUUAAUACACCUUGUCCUUCUUUUUAUCAGUGCCGCCGCCGGAUCCACCCCAAGUCUGCUGCUGCCCUUGUCACUUUUCCUGGGCAGGGGGUGCGUGUGUGUUUGGAGAAGCUGAAUCAUGGAGAUCUUGUUGUCUGCAUUUGAACUCCCGGCUUCUCCCAGGAGCCUGCAGAGCGGAGUCCGGUGGGGUGGGCGAGGGUGGGGCGCAAGGCCCCCUCUAGAGGCAGCACCCCCGAACGGGGCGGGAGGGACCACUAGCCCAGCCGGGCAAAGGGCUUCGCCUCUUUCUGCAUUUGUCAGCCGCAGAAUCGGAAGCGUCUCCGUCCUCCUCCCAAGUUAACAGAUGGCCCCUCCGGUCCCCCUUUGGCCGUUGUGAACAGAGAGAUCUCCUUUUCUCCCCAGCGCGACCCCGCUCCUCCCCUGCCUUUUCCCUGACCAUGAAGUGGCGUUGGAUAGUAUAGGGCAGGUUUAUUCCAAAAGGCAAAAAAACAGAAAGGCAAAGCAGUUGGAUCGAUACGACACGGAUUUGGGAGAGGGGAUUUUUGUUGCUGUUGCUAUUCGUUUCCUGGGGCGGGGGAGAGGAUGCUGGUGUUUGUGUGUUGCUGGACGGAGGUCUACCCCCCUUUUCUCCGCCCGCCUCCUUUUUAAAGUCCUGCAAAACUUUUCCUCGCCCAGCUUUGUUUGCAGACAAGCUCGACCCGCGAAGGGAAAAGCGAGAAAAGGGCGAUUUGCUCCGCUUCUUUCUGGUCGUGGGGGCGGGGGUGGGAUUUCGUCCCGGAACACGUGUCAGCUGGCAAAAGAAGCACCACGUGUGAGUCUGCCCCCGCCGCCUAAAAUCCGGCAUCACAAGCCGGGAUUAGCUGUUAUCCCCUCACCCACUCAACUUUCCAGCCUCCUCGGAAGAUAACCGCUUUGUUUCUUUUCUUGUUCAAGCCAGCCUGCUCUCGAUUGUCUCCUUCGGCCUCUCAUGCCCACUUCUCAGUGCGGCCCUGGCGGCCAGGUCCUGCCAGCCUCUCUCUCCUCCGACCAAAGCCCUUUUCUGAGGGUUCAUUUGCACUGAAGGAAAGGGUGGGACCAGCAUCAUCCAGCCCAGAAGAGGGAACCUGGGGACAUUUCUGUGCUUGGAGUGGGAGUCUCCCCCGCCCCCCACUUCUCCUCUCUCUUUCUCCAGUGUCAAAAAUCACAGUCGGAUCCUUCAAAGUAUGUGCGAGAGUGUAAAGAAGAGAGCCAUCUCCUUACCUUCUCAUACCCUCCUUCCUGCAAGGCGUGCAGCCUGUGUGUGUGUGUGUGUGUGUAACCAACAAAGGUUAUUCUUCCUCAAGCUCUAAACCUCCCUCACGUGAGAUAAUAUCAGUUCCAUAUAUCCUCUCCUACUUUAUCGAAAUCCAUCCAACGUGUGUGUGUUUUGGAAGGAAUCCCCGUGUAAGGGGGUGCGUGUGGAGCCUUUCCAGCCGAGCGAAACGCACCCGAAAGUCCGAGAAGUCCCUAAAGGGACCCGGAAUAGCAAACUCAGCCAGUGGCUUCUCCUCGCCGCUGCCGGUCACAAACCUCCCAAGGCGAGCGACUUGCCUUUGGCCGGCUGCUGUCUCCAAGGUGCUUCGCAAACGGUGGCGGACGCUUGAGUUAAAAGUGGCACCUUAAAAAGUCGUGGGUGUUGUGUGUUUGGGAAGAUGUGUGGAGGUUUCCCCC
rnacentral:lncRNA from 1 species